rnacentral:lncRNA from 1 species
CCCUUGGACAGCCGGCCUCCAUCUCCUGCAGGUCUAGUCAAAGCCUCGUAUACAGUGAUGGAAACACCUACUUGAAUUGGUUUCAGCAGAGGCCAGGCCAAUCUCCAAGGCGCCUAAUUUAUAAGGUUUCUAACCGGGACUCUGGGGUCCCAGACAGAUUCAGCGGCAGUGGGUCAGGCACUGAUUUCACACUGAAAAUCAGCAGGGUGGAGGCUGAGGAUGUUGGGGUUUAUUACUGCAUGCAAGGUACACACUGGCCUCCCACAG